GAAAAAACGGUUCGUUACCGAGAAUGCGGGGAACACACAAAAGCAGUUUCGGUACCGUUCUUUCCCAGAAAUCCAGCAUAUGAAGAAAGCUGCCCAAUCGCAACAUGUGCAUCUUUUUCGAGUGCAAAUGCAGCAGCAAAUCGAGCAUAAAUCGGGUGUUUCUCCGGGAAAUGAAUGGUGUUAAACCGCACCGUGCAUGAGCGUGUAUGUGUGUGUGUGUGAAGGGAAGUGAAGGGCUGGCUGCACAUCGCUAGCGCAGCAUGUGUGCGUCGAGUGUGGUGGUUAGAUGUUGGGUGUUAGAAGGUAAGACUGUGCUUCAUAGGAUCAUUUCUAUAGGCAAGUUUUCAACUCACUUUCACUCGAAAGUCGAGCUAUUCCAACCCACGAUGAUGAGGUGUAGUGGCUGUCCUGGAGCGUGAAACUGUCGGAUCUCGGCUGCGUCUCUGACGCGUCGAUCUGUGCUUGAUGAUCGUAUCCAAUUGCAAAGGGCAGACACAUUCUGAGUGGUUGUUUUCCUACACAUCUUAAACAUGAAACUAAACAUUUGAGACGAAUAUCAAUCAUUGUGCUAUUUUAAUAAGAACUGUGGAAGCGUGUGGAUCUGCUAAGAAUUAAUCUAUAACGAUUAUCUUCCCGGACGGCGUCAUCGGGAAGCUGUCCACGAACCGCACCCCGCCCCGCAGCCGCUUGAAGUCCGCCACCUGCCCCUCGACAUGCCGCACAAUGUCCUCCUCCCGCAGCGGCGUCGCACCACCGCCGCCACCCACCUUCCGCUCGACCACCGCCAUCGGCAGAUCGCUCGAACCGUCCGGCGCCGGCACACCGAUCACGCACACCUGCUUCACCCCGUCCAUGCGCUGUAUGAUGCACUCCAGAUCGGACGGCGACACCUGGUAGUUGUUGUACUUGAUGAUGUCCUUGAUGCGAUCGACCACGUACAGGCUGCCGUCCGCAUCGAUGUACCCGAUGUCGCCGCUCCGGAAGAACCCGUCCUCGGUCAGUGCGUUCGCGGUCGCUUCCGGAUUGUGCAGGUAACCC